rnacentral:rRNA from 1 species
GAUGAACGCUGGCGGCGUGCCUAAUACAUGCAAGUCGAGCGAACAGACGAGGAGCUUGCUCCUCUGACGUUAGCGGCGGACGGGUGAGUAACACGUGGAUAACCUACCUAUAAGACUGGGAUAACUUCGGGAAACCGGAGCUAAUACCGGAUAAUAUAUUGAACCGCAUGGUUCAAUAGUGAAAGACGGUUUUGCUGUCACUUAUAGAUGGAUCCGCGCCGCAUUAGCUAGUUGGUAAGGUAACGGCUUACCAAGGCGACGAUGCAUAGCCGACCUGAGAGGGUGAUCGGCCACACUGGAACUGAGACACGGUCCAGACUCCUACGGGAGGCAGCAGUAGGGAAUCUUCCGCAAUGGGCGAAAGCCUGACGGAGCAACGCCGCGUGAGUGAUGAAGGUCUUCGGAUCGUAAAACUCUGUUAUUAGGGAAGAACAUAUGUGUAAGUAACUAUGCACGUCUUGACGGUACCUAAUCAGAAAGCCACGGCUAACUACGUG